rnacentral:rRNA from 1 species
AGCCAUGUUGCGGUGAAUACGUUCCCGGGUCUUGUACUCACCGCCCGUCACACCAUGGGAGUUGAUUUCACUCGAAGUGGAAAUACUAAACUAGUUAUCCCCCACAGUGGAAUCAGCGACUGGGGUGAAGUCGUAACAAGGUAACCGUAGGAGAACCUGCGGUUGGAUCACCUCCUUUCUAGA